rnacentral:rRNA from 1 species
GACGAACGCUGGCGGCGUGCUUAACACAUGCAAGUCGAACGAAGUGGCGAACGGGUGAGUAACGCGUAAUCAACCUGCCCUUCAGAGGGGGACAACAGUUGGAAACGACUGCUAAUACCGCAUACUCAAGGAGGGGAUUGCGUCUGAUGAGCUAGUUGGAGGGGUAACGGCCCACAAAGGCGAGGAUCAGUAGCCGGUUGGGAGGGAUGAACGGCAACAUGGGGACGGAGACAAGGCCCAGACUCCUACGGGGGGUAACAGUGGGGAAUCUUCCGCAAUGGAGGAAAGUCUGACGGAGCAACGCGGCGUGAGUGAUGACGGCCUUCGGGUUGUAAAGCUCUGUUAAUCGGGACGCGGUACCGGAAUAGAAAGCCACUGCUAACUACGGGCCAGCCGCCGCGGUAAUAC